rnacentral:rRNA from 1 species
AUGAACGCUAGCUACAGGCUUAACACAUGCAAGUCGAGGGGCAGCAUGGUCUUAGCUUGCUAAGGCCGAUGGCGACCGGCGCACGGGUGAGUAACACGUAUCCAACCUGCCGUCUACUCUUGGACAGCCUUCUGAAAGGAAGAUUAAUACAAGAUGGCAUCAUGAGUCCGCAUGUUCACAUGAUUAAAGGUAUUCCGGUAGACGAUGGGGAUGCGUUCCAUUAGAUAGUAGGCGGGGUAACGGCCCACCUAGUCUUCGAUGGAUAGGGGUUCUGAGAGGAAGGUCCCCCACAUUGGAACUGAGACACGGUCCAAACUCCUACGGGAGGCAGCAGUGAGGAAUAUUGGUCAAUGGGCGAGAGCCUGAACCAGCCAAGUAGCGUGAAGGAUGACUGCCCUAUGGGUUGUAAACUUCUUUUAUAAAGGAAUAAAGUCGGGUAUGCAUACCCGUUUGCAUGUACUUUAUGAAUAAGGAUCGGCUAACUCCGUGCCAGCAGCCGCGGUAAUACGGAGGAUCCGAGCGUUAUCCGGAUUUAUUGGGUUUAAAGGGAGCGUAGAUGGAUGUUUAAGUCAGUUGUGAAAGUUUGCGGCUCAACCGUAAAAUUGCAGUUGAUACUGGAUAUCUUGAGUGCAGUUGAGGCAGGCGGAAUUCGUGGUGUAGCGGUGAAAUGCUUAGAUAUCACGAAGAACUCCGAUUGCGAAGGCAGCCUGCUAAGCUGCAACUGACAUUGAGGCUCGAAAGUGUGGGUAUCAAACAGGAUUAGAUACCCUGGUAGUCCACACGGUAAACGAUGAAUACUCGCUGUUUGCGAUAUACAGCAAGCGGCCAAGCGAAAGCGUUAAGUAUUCCACCUGGGGAGUACGCCGGCAACGGUGAAACUCAAAGGAAUUGACGGGGGCCCGCACAAGCGGAGGAACAUGUGGUUUAAUUCGAUGAUACGCGAGGAACCUUACCCGGGCUUAAAUUGCAGAUGAAUUACGGUGAAAGCCGUAAGCCGCAAGGCAUCUGUGAAGGUGCUGCAUGGUUGUCGUCAGCUCGUGCCGUGAGGUGUCGGCUUAAGUGCCAUAACGAGCGCAACCCUUGUUGUCAGUUACUAACAGGUUCCGCUGAGGACUCUGACAAGACUGCCAUCGUAAGAUGUGAGGAAGGUGGGGAUGACGUCAAAUCAGCACGGCCCUUACGUCCGGGGCUACACACGUGUUACAAUGGGGGGUACAGAGGGCCGCUACCACGCGAGUGGAUGCCAAUCCCAAAAACCUCUCUCAGUUCGGACUGGAGUCUGCAACCCGACUCCACGAAGCUGGAUUCGCUAGUAAUCGCGCAUCAGCCACGGCGCGGUGAAUACGUUCCCGGGCCUUGUACACACCGCCCGUCAAGCCAUGGGAGCCGGGGGUACCUGAAGUGCGUAACCGCGAGGAGCGCCCUAGGGUAAAACUGGUA